UAGGGAAUCUUCCACAAUGGACGAAAGUCUGAUGAAGCAACGCCGCGUGAGUGAAGAAGGGUUUCGGCUCGUAAAACUCUGUUGUUAAAGAAGAACAUAUCUGAGAGUAACUGUUCAGGUAUUGACGGUAUUUAACCAGAAAGCCACGGCUAACUACGUGCCAG
rnacentral:rRNA from 1 species